UUUGUGGAUAGGGGUCCAGGCCACCCCGGAUCCCUCCAUCCUUCUUUCUUUUUUCCGAUUAUGUUUCAUGAGGAAUUUGGCUCUGACGGUGUGGAUUUUUUCUUGUGGUUUUAUGAUAGUGUGUUGCUACCGCGGCAGCGUUGAAGAUCAUAAUUGUUGUUUGACUUCAUGCUUUCCCUCCAGCGCGAAAGUGCUAGAUUGUGUGAUUCCAAUGCGGUAGAGUGGUUUUUGCAGGCUUGAUUAUUAAGCAUCAAAUGUGGCCGAUCUAGCGUAAUUUUUUUGUUCUAAUGGAGAGCCAUUCACACCCUCACACUUCGUCGCCAAUUUCUUCUCCGCGUAUUGCAUUGCUCAGCAGCACCAAGAUCUAUCGAGCAUCGUCUCUUUGACAUCUCUCGGCCAUCUUCCACUUCAUCAGCUUGGAAUUGCGGAGUGGAGUUGUAGCAAGUUCAUUGUAAAGUAUUGGAAAGCAAGAAAGUGAGCUCUAGCAUCAAGACUUGCGGAACCCUUAUCACCCAUUCGUGGCGUGUACCUGUUUUGAUUCAGUUUUGGUGCGCUGAGUAUACGUUGAGUUUUGAAGUUCUAGUCAAGAGGCAGAGAAGUCUGCGCUUUGAAUGCUCGUUGCAAGAUUGCAGAGCAGCAGAAUUCAAGGUAUCAUUUUCAGAACGUUGUUAGCAGUACAUUCAAUUUCCAACUUCAGAAGGAAAGGUUACUGUUAUGAGCGGCGGUGGAGAUCUUCUUAUUUUUCCAGUUGACGUUAGGACGGCGUGGUGCGGCGCUGAUCUAGUGCUUAGAUCAUUGUAGGUAGAGCUCCAAAGAUUGGAGCGAGGGGCAACAUUGGAGCAACGUCGAUGCUAGCUGGAAAGUACAGAGAUCUACUCUGAUCGAGAUCGUGAACAAAAGGCAGUCUAUUUUUUUAAAAGUGGCGUCUAGUCUCAAUUCAAGCAUGGCUAGAUCUCCUCAGUGUUAUGUUAGGCUAGGAAGAAUGUUGCAAGAGUGUGACUUCCUGUAAAUGAUCUUGAUUGAGGCUCUCGAGAGAGGAUUUUAUUCCAAUAUGGAUGUAGAGCAGAGAACUAAGGUUGGUUGAGAUGAAUCUUGAGGAUGAGUUAUUUGCAUCCGUCGAGAAUGCUAAGAGUUUGAUGGCGAAUUAGAAUUCUGUGUCCUGCGCUAGAAGCUAGUGCUUCAAUUUACAAGGUUCAAGGACCAGCAUUUUGUGUAAACAUAUGAAUCUGUGAAGAACAACCAUGGUAGAGGAGCAACCGCUUGUGUGGACGGAAAUCUGCUGUCUCGUGCCUACAGCUACAUUGCGUGUGGUGCAGCUUGGCGUUGAUCGUGGGCAGGGUGGUAGAGUCAACUCACAACACAUCGACCAAAAGCAGACCAAUUUUGAUCCAGUGAGGUUUUUGGAUAGAUGAAGCUAGAUUAGGUCGAUUGAAGUAGACUUGAAAAUAAUAGGUUAGAAGAAUUUUAGGUCAAAACAAAUGAUUUCUAUAUGGAUGAAAAAAUUAAUGGAUUGGAUUAAUUUUUAA